rnacentral:rRNA from 1 species
AGAGUUUGAUCCUGGCUCAGGACGAACGCUGGCGGCGUGCCUAAUACAUGCAAGUCGUACGCAUUGAUAAUGGAACUUGUUCCAUUUGAUGUGAGUGGCGCACGGGUGAGUAACACGUGGGAAACCUACCCUUCAGCGGGGGAUAACCGUCGGAAACGAUGGCUAAUACCGCAUAGGUCUUUGAGUCACCUGACUUAAAGAGGAAAGACGGCUUCGGCUGUCACUGAAGGAUGGUCCCGCGGUGCAUUAGCUAGUUGGUAAGGUAAUGGCUUACCAAGGCAAUGAUGCAUAGCCGACCUGAGAGGGUGAUCGGCCACAUUGGGACUGAGACACGGCCCAAACUCCUACGGGAGGCAGCAGUAGGGAAUCUUCCGCAAUGGACGAAAGUCUGACGGAGCAACGCCGCGUGUGUGAAGAAGGACCUCGGAUCGUAAAGCACUGUUAUUAGAGAAGAAUAUCCGGUAGAGUAACUGUUACCGGCCUGACGGUAUCUAACCAGAAAGCCACGGCUAACUACGUGCCAGCAGCCGCGGUAAUACGUAGGUGGCAAGCGUUGUCCGGAUUUAUUGGGCGUAAAGGGAGCGCAGGCGGUGAUUUAAGUCUGAUGUGAAAGCCCACGGCUCAACCGUGGAAGGUCAUUGGAAACUGGAUCACUUGAGUGCAGAAGAGGAAAGUGGAAUUCCAUGUGUAGCGGUGAAAU